rnacentral:ncRNA from 65 species
UGAGGUAGUAGGUUGUAUGGUU